rfam:Erythrobacter atlanticus strain s21-N3, complete genome.
GCACCCGUAGCUCAGCUGGAUAGAGCGCUGCCCUCCGAAGGCAGAGGUCACAGGUUCGAAUCCUGUCGGGUGCA